AUUGAACGCUGGCGGCAGGCCUAACACAUGCAAGUCGAACGGUAACAGGAAGCAGCUUGCUGCUUCGCUGACGAGUGGCGGACGGGUGAGUAAUGUCUGGGAAGCUGCCUGAUGGAGGGGGAUAACUACUGGAUACGGUAGCUAAUACCGCAUAAUGUCGCAAGACCAAAGAGGGGGACCUUCGGGCCUCUUGCCAUCGGAUGUGCCCAGAUGGGAUUAGCUUGUUGGUGGGGUAACGGCUCACCAAGGCGACGAUCCCUAGCUGGUCUGAGAGGAUGACCAGCCACACUGGAACUGAGACACGGUCCAGACUCCUACGGGAGGCAGCAGUGGGGAAUAUUGCACAAUGGGCGCAAGCCUGAUGCAGCCAUGCCGCGUGUAUGAAGAAGGCCUUCGGGUUGUAAAGUACUUUCAGCGGGGAGGAAGGGAGUAAAGUUAAUACCUUUGCUCAUUGACGUUACCCGCAGAAGAAGCACCGGCUAACUCCGUG
rnacentral:rRNA from 1 species